rnacentral:rRNA from 1 species
UGAGGAAUAUUGCGCAAUGGCCGAAAGGCUGACGCAGCGACGCCGCGUGGGGGAUGACGGCCUUCGGGUUGUAAACCCUUGUCAGUGGGGAAGAAAAAAAUGACUGUACCCACAGAGGAAGCCCCGGCUAACUACGUGCCAGCAGCCGCGGUAAGACGUAGGGGGCGAGCGUUGUUCGGAAUUACUGGGCGUAAAGAGCUCGUAGGCUGGAAAUUAAGUCUUUGAACAAAUCUCCCGGCUCAACCGGGAACCGUUUAGGGAUACUGAUUUCUUGAGAACAGGAGAGGGGAAUGGAAUUCCUAGUGUAGCGGUGAAAUGCGUAGAUAUUAGGAGGGACACCAGUGGCGAAGGCGGUUCUCUGGCCUGUUUCUGACGCUGAGGAGCGAAAGCUGGGGGAGCGAACGG